rnacentral:rRNA from 1 species
GACAGAGGUGCCAAGCGUUAGGCGGAAUCACUGGGCUUAAAGCGUGUGUAGGCGGAAUGGUAAGUACCUUGUGAAAUCCCACGGCUCAACCGUGGAACUGCUUGGUAUACUGCUUUUCUUGAGCCACUUAGGGGCAACCGGAACAAACGGUGGAGCGGUGAAAUGCGUAGAUAUCGUUUGGAACGCCAAUGGUGAAAACAGGUUGCUGGGAGUGUGCUGACGCUGAGACACGAAAGCCAGGGGAGCAAACAGG